CACACCUUCCGCACGUCCUCUGCAGAGUCUGGACAGAAAGACAAUGGGGUCUUAACUGCAGUUCACCAAGGUUCUCACCACUGCUUGCUUACUUAGAAAGGGCUGCACAUGCUUUCAACUGCAACACCUCUUUUCUCUAAACCUUCAAGCUGCUAUAUGAAGCUUCGGUAAGUCACAGCUAUAAGGGACAAUGUUCACCCAUGGGAACAAGCUCCUUUUAAAAAAAAACGGUGUUAGAAUCCCAGGACCCAGAAUCCUCGACAAUGACUCAAGGACUAUUUGAGUUCAAAAUUAACGGUUCCUUUCUCGUUCUACAAGGUAGAAAUAAGCAGAAGAAUCAUCUGACCUGGAUUGGAAUGACACUGGCUGUACAACACAGUGAACUGGCCAUCUUGUUCCAGAACAUGGAAGUCACAGUCUCCCUCCACCGCCUAGGAAAGAAACCCAGGAGCACUAUGACUUGACUCCUCAUCUGGGGAGCAGCCUGGCAGGACUCUGGGAGCAAAAGCCGGAAGCCUGAUUGGCUGCCAUGGAGAAGAAGCCUCAGUGUUGGGAGAAUCAUGGAGAAGAAGCCUCAGUGUUGGGAGAAUCAUGGAGAAGAAGCCUCAGUGUUGGGAGAAUCAUGGAUUGGCCACUUGAUUCUGCCCUUUAUGAUUCCUAAAGGGCCAAAGCGCUGUGAAACCAGGCAUUAACGUCUAAUAAACACACUGUUUUUUCACUCA